ACUGAGGUUUUUCUCAAAACCAUUUAAUAACCACAUGUCAGAUUAAU
rfam:Nomascus leucogenys chromosome 5, whole genome shotgun sequence.